rnacentral:rRNA from 1 species
AACGAACGCUGGCGGCGCGCCUAAUACAUGCAAGUCGAGCGAGAAGGUGUAGCAAUACACUUGUAAAGCGGCGAACGGGUGAGGAAUGCAUGGGUAACCUACCCUCGAGUGGGGAAUAACUAGCCGAAAGGUUAGCUAAUACCGCAUACGUUUCCGGAACUUCGGUUUCGGAAAGAAAGCAAUACCGUGGGUAUUGCGCUCCUGGAUGGGCUCAUGUCCUAUCAGCUUGUUGGUGAGGUAACGGCUCACCAAGGCUUCGACGGGUAGCUGGUCUGAGAGGACGAUCAGCCACACUGGCACUGCGACACGGGCCAGACUCCUACGGGAGGCAGCAGUAAGGAAUAUUGCGCAAUGGACGAAAGUCUGACGCAGCGACGCCGCGUGGGGGAUGAAGGUCUUCGGGAUUGUAAACCCCCUUUCGGGAGGGAAGAUGGAGUGGGUAACCACUUGGACGGUACCUCCAGAAGCAGCCACGGCUAACUUCGUGCCAGCAGCCGCGGUAAU